AAGCCGGCCUCAAUGCCGGUUUUCUAGCUCUGUAGUGGCCAGAGCCUACCCGCGGGUGGCAUGCCUCAGACCGCGGCCAGCGCCGCUGGAACUGGGCGGAGGACCGCCGGGCUAGACGGAUGCCUUCCCGAGGAGGGGGUGAGAGGAGGCAAAUCGUCAGACGAGGCGCCCUCGGGGAGGAUCCGGCUAGACCACAGGAGCUGACCGCCAGGACUUUUGAUUGCUGAAGCGAGUCCUGCGGGGCGCCUACGGCCAGCUCCCGCUCCUUCCGCAACCGCCCGCCCAUAGCUGGGGAGGUACCCGAGAGUCGAAUCCAAACUGAGACAAGCAGAGGCGGGGCUGAAGUGCGGGCCAGUAGUAGCCAGAGUUUAGACCAAUCAGCCCUCGGCCCUACUUGUCUCGACCAAUAGGAAGUGGGCUAAGGCGCAGAGGCGGAAAGUGUAGCUAAAUGAGCAGGCGUCAGAGCCAAUCAGCCGUGGGUCUCGUUCCCGUUGUCCAACCAGCGGCGAGAGCGGGUAUGUGGGCGGGAGGCCGGAGCAGCUGUCAGGCUAAAGUCCGGCGAGCGACGCUCGGGGACGGCGGGAGGAGACGCUGCGCCGGGCCGGGCCCUGGAGAUGGUCCCCGGCGCCGCGGGCUGGUGUUGUCUCGUGUUCUGGCUCCCCGCGUGCGUCGCAGCCCACGGCUUCCGCAUCCAUGAUUAUUUAUACUUUCAAGUGCUGAGUCCUGGGGACAUUCGAUACAUCUUCACAGCCACACCUGCCAAAGACUUCGGUGGUAUCUUUCACACAAGGUAUGAGCAGAUUCACCUUGUCCCUGCUGAACCUCCAGAGGCCUGCGGGGAACUCAGCAACGGCUUCUUCAUCCAGGACCAGAUCGCUCUGGUGGAAAGGGGGGGCUGUUCCUUCCUCUCCAAGACCCGAGUGGUACAGGAGCAUGGCGGGCGGGCAGUGAUCAUCUCUGACAAUGCAGUUGACAAUGACAGCUUCUACGUGGAGAUGAUCCAGGACAGUACCCAGCGCACAGCUGACAUCCCUGCCCUCUUCCUGCUCGGCCGAGAUGGCUUUCAAGGGCCGUGACCAGGUCUGUCUUUGUUCGUCUCUCCAAUGAGGAUUUCAGCUGAGGCCCACCCCCUUUCAGCACUACUGCUCUGGCCUGACAGGGGUGCCUCCAAAAUUCAGAGUGGCAGGAAUGUGUGGACCAGGACAGCCUUGAACAGCCCAUAAGCCACAAAUCUCAACCCUAUGGAAAACUAUGGAAGCUCUUCUUAACAGAAUGGAACAGGUGAAACAAAACCAUGGGGCAAAGCCACAGACACACCCUUGACCGUCUUCCUGGAAGCCCUUCUGUGCCUUGUAGCCCUGGGACCCAAUCUAGCAAAAUGAAAACUUGGCCUUCCUCUAUGGGAUAAAAUGAUAUGAACAGAGACCCACUUAAUCUCUGACAAUCUCAAAUCUCGAUCUCCCUCUCCUUCUUUCUGGAGGACCAAAUACAGAAAAUAUUUAGUAAUCAAACCAAAGGAAAAGAAUCAGUGUUGUUCCUUUAUAAAGCCACUCAUUUCCAAAACAAAUGAAAGUAUUUCAAGAAAAACAGCUCUAAUUCAUAACAUCAAGAAGCCUGGAGAGCACUGAACUUUAAUGGAAACCAACCAUACAAACAUAUUUCCAAUUUGAAAAGGAAAUUUUAAGAAAAGAUCAUGAAAAAUUCUAAGACUAUGCAGUAUUUUUUUUUUUUUUGAGACAGGGUCUGUCUCUGUC